rnacentral:rRNA from 1 species
UACGUAGGGCGCAAGCGUUGUCCGGAAUUAUUGGGCGUAAAGAGCUCGUAGGCGGUCUGCCACGUCUGCCGUGAAAACCCGAGGCUUAACCUCGUGGCUUGCGGUGGAUACGGGCAGACUAGAGGUAGGUAGGGGAGAACGGAAUUCCCGGUGUAGCGGUGAAAUGCGCAGAUAUCGGGAGGAACACCAGUGGCGAAGGCGGCCUUCUGGCUCGCAACUGACGCUGUAGCGCGAAAGCGUGGGGAGCGAACGGG